UACGUAGGGUGCGAGCGUUGUCCGGAAUUACUGGGCGUAAAGAGCUCGUAGGCGGCUCGUUGCGUCGGCUGUGAAAACCCGCAGCUCAACUGUGGGCUUGCAGCCGAUACGGGCGGGCUGGGAUUCGGUAGGGGAGACUGGAAUUCCUGGUGUAGCGGUGAAAUGCGCAGAUAUCAGGAAGAACACCUAUGGCGAAGGCAGCUCUCUGGGACGGUACUGACGCUGAGACGCGAAAGCGUGGGGAGCGAACAGG
rnacentral:rRNA from 1 species